rnacentral:rRNA from 1 species
GAGUUUGAUCGUGGCUCAGAUUGAACGCUGGCGGCAUGCCUUACACAUGCAAGUCGAACGGCAGCACGGGAGCUUGCUCCUGGUGGCGAGUGGCGAACGGGUGAGUAAUGCAUCGGAACGUAUCCUGGAGUGGGGGAUAACGUAGCGAAAGUUACGCUAAUACCACAUAUUCUGUGAGCAGGAAAGCGGGGGACCUUCGGGCCUCGCGCUCUUGGAGCGGCCGAUGUCGGAUUAGCUAGUUGGUGAGGUAAAGGCUCACCAAGGCGACGAUCCGUAGCAGGUCUGAGAGGAUGAUCUGCCACACUGGAACUGAGACACGGUCCAGACUCCUACGGGAGGCAGCAGUGGGGAAUUUUGGACAAUGGGGGCAACCCUGAUCCAGCCAUGCCGCGUGAGUGAAGAAGGCCUCGGUUGUAAGACGUCUUUCGUCGUAGGGAAGGAAAGUUAAGUCGACCGGACCGAACGUAACCUACGGU